UAUUUGUCAGGUGUCAUUGUAAUUGUCUGUUUUUUCUCACAAGGCUGAAAUAUGUGCCCUCGCUUUGAAAUGUUACCAAGGUUUGUUUGUAUUUCAUCCAAACUAUCUGUGUUAAAAAGUGAUGGCUACAGCAUAUGUCAUUUCUUCCACUUUUUGAGUGACCCAAAGUUCAAGCUGCUUGUCUAUUUGGUGAAAAUGCAAUGUCUGUUUAUCAGACUCACUUUGACUUUAAAUGGCGCACCAAGACUUGUUCCUUUGCUUACGGCCAUACCGGUCUGAGUGAUCACUUCCUGUUUGGAAAGUGAGACAGGUGUUGGUAAUUAAGUCGUGAGUGAGUGAGUGAGUGAGUGAGUGAGCGAGUGAGUGAGUGUUUGUUUGCUUGAGAGCUUUUUUGGUUAUUUUCAACGUUUUUUGAAGUAUAAUUUAGAUUUUUGCAUUUGAAAAAGUUUAAGUUUGAUUCGUUUUUCCCCCUUUGCAGUUUUGCUGCUUGGGCGAAAGUUUUUGGCCUCUUUUUUUUUGUUUAAUAUGACGGACAACAUGGCAAUGACUAACGGAAUGGACAAGGACAAAGAAAAUGCUCAACGUAAGAAACAUGGAGAUGAAGGAGGAAUGAAAUAUGGCAAAGAUUUUACAGUGGCAGUGGAGUUGAUGGGAGAAGAUACAUUUACAACGAUGGAAUUACUACGUGCGAUUAAAGAGGUGUGUGGAGAGGUGGUGGGAUGUAGAGUAAAAGGAGAAAGAAAGUACGAGGUCACGAUGAGAAAUGGAAAAGGAAAAGAGCACUUAAUGGAUGGCUUUAUGACUAAAGAAACAAGAAUAAUGGCAUUAGACAUGGUUUCCAAUUAACUAAUAGUCUCUUUCAUGAAUCUGCUUGUAUACAUGGAAGAGAGUGCUAUAUUGGCCAAGCUAUGUAGCUGGGGUGUAUCAGCAGUCUCUGAAAUCAGGAGGAGAGUUUGGCCAGGGACGGAUAUAGCAGAUUGCACGAGAUACUGCAAAGUGAAAUUCACUGAUACUGUGAAAUCAUUACCGUACUCUACAAAGUUUGACACACUUGAAGGUGGAGAGUACUUUAGAGUUAUACACGAUAAGCAGGUCAGAGUUUGUAGGCUUUGUAUUCAGCCUUGAAGGACUGCCCUGAAUUCAGAUGUUAUAAGUGCGGGAAGCAAGGGCAUUAUGCAAGAAAAUGUGAAGGUGGAAAGGAAAGGGCAUUUUGCAAAGGAUGUCGGAUGAGAACUAACGAGUGCAACUGCGGAGAGGUUGUGAAUGAGGAGGGGAGCCAGGACCUUUUUGUGGAAGCUGAUGUAUCACCACGAGCAGAAGAAGACGAUGGAGGAGAGGACGUGGUGGAGGGUGGAGAGACGGAGAAAAGAAGAUGUGAGAAGAUGGAACAGGAGACUCAUUAAAUAGGGAGCAGUAUGGAUUCAGAAAUAAGAAGAGGGAGUUUUCAGGAGGAGGGGGGAAGUGGGCUGGGUGGAGGCACUGGGGACUCACAGAUUUUUUUUGUGUGUGGGGGGGGGGGGGGGGGGGGGGGCUCGGGCUAUGUGGGUGCCUCGGAAGGAGGUGAAGUGGAGGGGAGUGGGACGCUGACAACGAUACAGGAGACGGAAAUGGAUACAGGAAGCACAACAGGCAUAGGAAAGAAGAAUUUGAGUUGGUUGGAAGAGAUGGAUUUUGAGUCAAUUUCAGAUUCAGAAGACAUGGAAAAGAUUGAUAGAACAAGGGGAGGCUACAGGAAGAGGAAAGCGUCGGUGUCGGUGAAAAAGAACGGAAAAGGAAGAAAACAUGACAACAGGGAAAUCCGAAAGCCGUGCACGGACGGGUCUUGACUCGUUAUUUAAAGACCUGGCCUCUGGAUUGAGGUUUAAAAAAACAGGCCAGUAUUGAUCUGAAGGCAACAGAGAAGGUGACGGAAUCGAACCGGCAUUGCUUUUCCCAGUCUACAGGACGAAGAUUUUAUGCACUACAGGUGAAUUACAGGUGAAGUCACUCAAUCCAGUCCCUGAGGCCUGUUGGGGGGAACAUACCAAGGACUCCUGGUGACAGCUAGCUGAAAGAGCUACCCGGAUUCAUAUCACACUGCGGGAGGGUAAGACACAUUGAGACUGUCGAACAAUAACAGUGUUCGAGAGGAGAACUGGAAUUAACAGAAUUCUGGGGGCUAUCUCUCGAAUGAAGAUUUCCUUACCUGUCAUUCCAUCCCUGUUUUUGUUCAUAGAAGUGAAAGUGUGUCUGGCUCUUGCUAAUGAUGUGUUCUCUGGAAGAGGGUAGGGCUUUAUGGGUGGGCUGUCCAUCCUGAGCUGUCUGGUUGUGGGACCUUAUUCCUGAUACCCCACCAUACCCCUGUCUGCGCAUUAUGCCCUGAAUAUAUUCUACCAUGCCCAGAAAUCUGCUCCUUUUAUUCUUUGUCCCCAACACUCUAGGCGACCAGUUUUGAUAGCCUUUA